AAGUCGUAACAAGGUUUCCGUAGGUGAACCUGCGGAAGGAUCAUUAAAAGAUAUGACAUGUCCCUUGUGGAUAUUACCAAUCAACCCAUUCUGAGUACCUUACCUGUUGCUUCCACACAGUGUCUGUGCAUUAGUACUGACAUCCUGAUGAUAGGUGAAAGCCUAUCGGAGGGAGAUGUGUGGAGGGUAUACUUAUAAACUCUUGCAUUACCAUGUAUUCUGUCUGAUAAUGUUUAAUAUAAACUAUUAAAACUUUCAACAACGGAUCUCUUGGUUCUC
rnacentral:misc_RNA from 1 species